GACGAACCGUGCGAACGUUGUUCGGAAUCACUGGGCUUAAAGGGCGCGUAGGCGGGUUUGCAAGUCUGUGGUGAAAGCCUCCAGCUUAACUGGAGAAGUGCCAUGGAUACUGCGGGCCUCGAGGAGGGUAGGGGCAUCUGGAACAGUAGGUGGAGCGGUGAAAUGCGUUGAUAUCUACUGGAACUCCGGUGGCGAAGGCGAGGUGCUGGACCCUUUCUGACGCUGAGGCGCGAAAGCCAGGGGAGCAAACGGG
rnacentral:rRNA from 1 species